rnacentral:rRNA from 1 species
UACGUAGGAUGCGAGCGUUAUCCGGAUUUAUUGGGUUUAAAGGGUGCGUAGGCGGAUCGUUAAGUCAGUGGUCAAAUUGAGGGGCUCAACCCCUUCCCGCCAUUGAAACUGGCGAUCUUGAGUGGAAGAGAAGUAUGCGGAAUGCGUGGUGCAGCGGUGAAAUGCAUAGAUAUCACGCAGAACCCCGAUUGCGAAGGCAGCAUGCCGGCUUCCUACUGACGCUGAAGCACGAAAGCGUGGGGAUCGAACAGG